CAUAGAUUGGUUGAACAACAUGAAACUAUCUCACGCACUUCUUUUGGGAGCACUACUGGUGAUGCAGUGUAUGAUCACAGUCCUAGCUGAGGCUGUAGAGUCAGGUCCAUCUGCUGGACCUUUGCCUUAUGCUGACGAUGAUGGUUCACUAGGGGGUUAACGUGUUUUUAAGGGUUUAUUGCGACUUCUCUUAUUGCGAGGUCUCUUUAUCCACUGGACUCUUUGAGGGCAAUAUUGUUACAUUUUGUGGAACUACAUUGUACAAAUAAUUUAUUACAAUACAAUAAAAACAAUAAUUGGAUCAUUUUAAA